UCCUGGAGGGCGACUCCAUGGACCAGGACGUGGAGAGCCCCGUGGCCAUUCACCAGCCAAAGUUGCCUAAGCAGGCCAGGGACGACCUGCCGAGACACAUCUGCCGAGACCGGACCAAAAGGAAAAUCCAGAGGUACGUGCGGAAGGACGGGAAGUGCAACGUGCACCAUGGCAACGUGAGGGAGACCUACCGCUACCUGACCGACAUCUUCACCACCUUAGUCGACCUCAAGUGGAGGUUCAACCUGCUGAUCUUCGUCAUGGUUUACACAGUCACGUGGCUCUUUUUUGGGAUGAUCUGGUGGCUAAUAGCGUAUAUCCGAGGAGAUAUGGACCACAUAGAGGACCCGUCGUGGACUCCCUGCGUCACCAACCUCAACGGGUUUGUCUCUGCUUUUUUAUUCUCAAUAGAGACAGAAACCACCAUCGGUUAUGGCUACCGGGUCAUCACGGACAAGUGCCCGGAGGGGAUUAUUCUCCUCUUAGUCCAGUCGGUGUUGGGGUCCAUUGUCAAUGCAUUCAUGGUGGGAUGCAUGUUUGUCAAAAUAUCGCAACCCAAGAAGAGGGCAGAGACCCUGGUGUUCUCCACCCACGCGGUGAUCUCCAUGCGGGACGGGAAGCUGUGCCUGAUGUUUCGCGUCGGGGACCUCAGGAAUUCCCACAUCGUGGAGGCCUCCAUCCGAGCCAAGCUGAUCAAAUCCAAACAGACCUCAGAGGGGGAGUUCAUCCCCUUGAACCAGACGGACAUCAACGUCGGGUAUUACACCGGGGACGACCGGCUGUUCCUGGUGUCGCCUCUCAUCAUCAGUCACGAAAUCAACCAACAGAGUCCUUUCUGGGAAAUCUCCAAAGCCCAGCUGCCCAAAGAGGAACUGGAGAUCGUGGUCAUCCUGGAAGGGAUGGUGGAAGCCACAGGUAAGGCCUGCUCCGUCCUGGGGUGUCUGUGGGACCCAGGCUCCUUUCAACCGGGUCUCACAUUCUUAUUUAUGGGAAAGCUGCACCGCACUCACUGUUGA